UUCGGGAUCGUCUAAUGGUAGGACAUCAGGUUCUGGUCCUGAGAAUCUAGGUUCGAGUCCUAGUCCCGAAGCCA
rnacentral:tRNA from 3 species